UGGCGACCGGCGCACGGGUGAGUAACGCGUAUCCAACCUGCCCUUUACUAUGGGACAGCCCGUCGAAAGGCGGAUUAAUACCGUAUGUUGUCAUGUUGAUGCAUAUUUUCAUGACCAAAGGCUUCGGCCGGUAAAGGAUGGGGAUGCGUCUGAUUGGCUUGCCGGCGGGGUAACGGCCCACCGGGGCGACGAUCAGUAGGGGUUCUGAGAGGAAGGUCCCCCACAUUGGAACUGAGACACGGUCCAAACUCCUACGGAAGGCAGCAG
rnacentral:rRNA from 1 species